AAAACUAAUAUUAUUGUUUUAUAUACAUGUAAUAAAAGAAUUUUCAUUUUUGGGAAAAAUAUUUACAUCAUUUAAAAAGAUAUCCGCAUUAAUUCCUGUGAAAAAAAGUUUAUUAUUUUACAAAUAUGGUACAUUGUAUACAAUGCAUACCGUUACUGGUAAAUCAAUUUUUAUCUCAGAAUUAUUUUUAACGUUAUUUGUUGUCAGUAUAGAGACUGUGAAACUUGAUUUCUUUUAUACACGAAAGUUUGUCCUUUUGUGUCCCUACAGUGUCAAAGAAGCAUGCAAUGUUAUAUAUAUCCGAUAUUAGUACAAUCCAGCGCAAUCUCAGCAGCAAGAUACUGAGAUUUUACUUUUAAAAGAUAUUUGUUGUACUUAAUAAAACUAAUUAUCUAUAUCAAUUUGGUAACACUUGACCAAACUGUAUAGGCUUGCCAUAUUUUUGUCCUUUAGCUACUCGGAACAUUUCAGUAUCAGUUUGUUCAUUAAAAGAAUCUGCAAGUUGACUAAUUAGGUAUGUGUCUUGAUGUUCCAUAAAUCCUCUUCUCUGGUUUCAUCAGUAUUCAUUGGCACAAAUUUUCACAGAUUUUGCAAAAUGUACAAUUUUGAAUGAUAUGUAAAUGAGUGAAAAAUUGACAUGUCCUGCCCAUUACAAAUGUCCUGUUUCUUACUUCAAUACACAUUUGAUUUUGUGGAUCCAUUUAACAGCAAAAGCCACGAUAAUUUGUGUUUAAUGACUAAUGAUGAAACCAAAAUAGUAUAUCAUGCUCACAAACAUUGAUCUUGAAGACAUAAGCAAGAACUCAGUAAUUUUUUAAGGCUUCACAGUUUAUACCGGUAUAUACAUGUAUACAUAGAUACUGGUGCAUUGGGGUACAACCUUACUUCAUCUACAGUGCAAUUAGGUUACCUAUAUGAUUUAUUAUUUUUAUCAGUCAUGAAUUGUAUGAAAUAUUUCUGUUAAUUAAUAAAUUAGAUUGCAAU
rnacentral:misc_RNA from 1 species